CGGACGGGUGAGUAAUGUCUGGGAAACUGCCCGAUGGAGGGGGAUAACUACUGGAAACGGUAGCUAAUACCGCAUAACGUCGCAAGACCAAAGAGGGGACCUUCGGGCCUCUUGCCAUCGGAUGAGCCCAGAUGGGAUUAGCUAGUAGGUGGGGUAACGGCUCACCUAGGCGACGAUCCCUAGCUGGUCUGAGAGGAUGACCAGCCACACUGGAACUGAGACACGGUCCAG
rnacentral:rRNA from 1 species